AAGCAAGUGGAGCAAUCCCAUGCAGUAAGUGUGCGACGGGUGAGUAACACGUGACCAAUCUACCCUUGAGUGGGGGAUAACCUCGGGAAACCGGGGCUAAUACCGCAUAAUAUCUCUGGAUCGGACAGAACUGGAGAUCCAAAGGAGCAAUUCGCUUAAGGACGGUGGUCGCGGCUGAUUAGCUAGUUGGCGGGGUAAUGGCCCACCAAGGCAAAAGAUCGGUAGCCGGACUGAGAGGGCGCACGGGCACACUUGGAACUGAAACACGGUCCAGACUCCUACGGGAGGCAGCAGUGGGGAAUUUUUGCGCCAAUGGGGGGAAACCCUGACGGCAGCAAACGGCCGACAGGUUGGAAGGGAUUGAAAGUUCCCCUUUGGGGAACGGUUAAAAACUUCCCCUUUUUCGGAACCCCGGGACCGGAAUUAAAUUGGAACCGGGUAACCGGGGGUUGGGCAACGAAAAUGGCCCACAGGGGGUUAAACUUUCGGUUGGCCAAGGC
rnacentral:rRNA from 1 species